rnacentral:rRNA from 1 species
UACGGAGGGGACUAGCGUUGUUCGGAAUUACUGGGCGUAAAGCGCACGUAGGCGGAUUUGUAAGUCAGGGGUGAAAUCCUGGGGCUCAACCUCGGAACUGCCUUUGAUACUGCAAAUCUCGAGUCCGGAAGAGGUGAGUGGAAUUCCUAGUGUAGAGGUGAAAUUCGUAGAUAUUAGGAAGAACACCAGUGGCGAAGGCGGCUCACUGGUCCGGUACUGACGCUGAGGUGCGAAAGCGUGGGGAGCAAACAGG